rnacentral:miRNA from 1 species
CAUUAUUACUUUCGGUACGCG